AGGAAUAUUGGUCAAUGGGCGAGAGCCUGAACCAGCCAAGUAGCGUGAAGGAUGACUGCCCUAUGGGUUGUAAACUUCUUUUAUAAAGGAAUAAAGUCGGGUAUGGAUACCCGUUUGCAUGUACUUUAUGAAUAAGGAUCGGCUAACUCCGUGCCAGCAGCCGCGGUAAUACGGAGGAUCCGAGCGUUAUCCGGAUUUAUUGGGUUUAAAGGGAGCGUAGAUGGAUAUUUAAGUCAGUUGUGAAAGUUUGCGGCUCAACCGUAAAAUUGCAGUUGAUACUGGAUAUCUUGAGUGCAGUUGAGGCAGGCGGAAUUCGUGGUGUAGCGGUGAAAUGCUUAGAUAUCACGAAGAACUCCGAUUGCGAAGGCAGCCUGCUAAGCUGCAACUGACAUUGAGGCUCGAAAGUGUGGGUAUCAAACAGGAUUAGAUACCCUGGUAGUCCACACGGUAAACGAUGAAUACUCGCUGUUUGCGAUAUACUGCAAGCGGCCAAGCGAAAGCGUUAAGUAUUCCACCUGGGGAGUACGCCGGCAACGGUGAAACUCAAAGGAAUUGACGGGGGCCCGCACAAGCGGAGGAACAUGUGGUUUAAUUCGAUGAUACGCGAGGAACCUUACCCGGGCUUAAAUUGCAGAUGAAUUACGGUGAAAGCCGUAAGCCGCAAGGCAUCUGUGAAGGUGCUGCAUGGUUGUCGUCAGCUCGUGCCGUGAGGUGUCGGCUUAAGUGCCAUAACGAGCGCAACCCUUGUUGUCAGUUACUAACAGGUUUUGCUGAGGACUCUGACAAGACUGCCAUCGUAAGAUGUGAGGAAGGUGGGGAUGACGUCAAAUCAGCACGGCCCUUACGUCCGGGGCUACACACGUGUUACAAUGGGGGGUACAGCAGGCAGCUACCGGGCGACCGGAUGCCAAUCCCGAAAGCCUCUCUCAGUUCGGACUGGAGUCUGCAACCCGACUCCACGAAGCUGGAUUCGCUAGUAAUCGCGCAUCAGCCACGGCGCGGUGAAUACGUUCCCG
rnacentral:rRNA from 1 species